CCCUUCAGCAUGAUGAAAUAUUUCGGAUGUAAAGAUUAUUAUUUUUUUGUCUGAAUUGCGCAAACAACCCCAUGUUGAUAUUUCCGUUGCCUUCCUUCUGAUCAAGC
rnacentral:snoRNA from 1 species